UACGGGGGGGGCAAGCGUUGUUCGGAAUUACUGGGCGUAAAGGGCUCGUAGGCGGCCAACUAAGUCAGACGUGAAAUCCCUCGGCUUAACCGGGGAACUGCGUCUGAUACUGGAUGACUUGAAUCCGGGAGAGGGAUGCGGAAUUCCGAGGUGUAGCGGUGAAAUGCGUAGAUAUCUGGAGGAACACCGGUGGCGAAGGCGGCAUCCUGGACCGGCAUUGACGCUGAGGAGCGAAAGCCAGGGGAGCAAACGGG
rnacentral:rRNA from 1 species